GAAGUCUAGAAGAUACAUGCUUUGUUACAAGGGCAAUUUUAAUUCUCUCUUUUAGGAUGAUAAAUUCUCUGAUUCAAGCAUAAUGUGAUGUGAGGCACUUGCGUUGUUAAACCAUUACAAAGACAACUAUUGAAAGGUGUUUCCAAAUACAUGCAAAAAAACGCAUUUAUUGCAUAGAAAGAGUGAAGCAUACUCGUUUUGUGGGUAAGAGUGAGUUUUCAGAGCCCGUGGGAGUGACUGCUCAGGUACUAAAAUUCUCUUUUUAUAUCUUGAACAGGAAGAAGAGUAUAGCUGUUUCUUUCCCCACUGUCACUGAUGCGCAUUAGCUCUUGAGGCACUGGAACUGAGAAAGCAUGGAAAUUGGGAAAGUGACUUACAUCAGCUGCUUAGCCUUUGCUGUCUUCAGUGAGCUCACCAGCAAAAGUUUGUGCUCAGUACUGUGUGUUCUACUACUCAACAAAGGAGAAACCAAAAUGACAACUUGAUGAGGACCCAUAAUGAAAGACACAAUGCUCCGUGGGGAACAAGUACAACAAAAAUCUUUCAAACAACAUUGAAUAGACUUUGGAAUAAUUUAUAUUUUGUUCCUUGGAGACGCUGUAUGCAUGUUCAUAAUCAGUACUGGAAACUGAUGGUAUUUAUAGUACUAGAUCUAUACUCACGUAAGGGUGCUUCAGAAUAGGUUUGAAGCCGCAGAUCCUGUACUGUUCAGAGACCAGCUGUCAAAAGACAAGAGAGUAUUCUAUAGAGCACAAAAAUCCCCUACCUUAA